rnacentral:rRNA from 1 species
CCUACGGGAGGCAGCAGUGGGGAAUUUUGGACAAUGGGGGCAACCCUGAUCCAGCCAUGCCGCGUGAGUGAAGAAGGCCUUCGGGUUGUAAAGCUCUUUCGGCCGGAACGAAAUCGCGCACGUGAAUAACGUGCGUGGAUGACGGUACCGGAGUAAGAAGCACCGGCUAACUACGUGCCAGCAGCCGCGGUAAUACGUAGGGUGCGAGCGUUAAUCGGAAUUACUGGGCGUAAAGCGUGCGCAGGCGGUUCGCUAAGUCAGACGUGAAAGCCCCGGGCUUAACCUGGGAACGGCGUUUGAAACUGGCGGGCUCGAGUACGGCAGAGGGGGGUGGAAUUCCACGUGUAGCAGUGAAAUGCGUAGAUAUGUGGAGGAACACCGAUGGCGAAGGCAGCCCCCUGGGCCGAUACUGACGCUCAUGCACGAAAGCGUGGGGAGCAAACAGGAUUAGAUACCCUGGUAGUCCACGCCCUAAACUAUGUCAACUAGUUGUCGGGGAAGCAAUUCCUUGGUAACGCAGCUAACGCGUGAAGUUGACCGCCUGGGGAUACGGUCGCAAGAUUAAAACUCAAAGUAGUAAGUGGACGUGAGAGAGCGACGACGACGACGACGGAGGAGAG